UAUUUGAAAGUAUAGACAAAAGUUAAGAAAACGAGGAGAAAACAACAAAAUAAUGAGGCUGUGGCCUCUCGCGCCUUGGGCCGGCUCAUCUCGCGAGGCUUCCCUACGUCUCGCACUAAUCGAGAUAUAGUGUCGCGCACAGGAGCAACCUCAAAAAAAGAAAAAGAAAAAAAGGCGCCACACGAGCACCGGCGAUUGGCUGGUGGCUCCUCGCCGCCAUGGCGCCAUCUCUCGGUGGCCGGAUCCUCCCUCGCGGCGGCGCUGGCGCGUGCUUGGCUCCUGACCAGCGGAUGAAUGGAGUGGCGGACUGGUGGCAAGUGGAAGCAGCGAUCGGUCUCUAUAUGCUUGUGGAUUCGCCCAGGUGGACUGGAAUGCAUAGCUUAAGCAGCAAUGGCAAUAUAGCAUAUUAGCGAGUAACGGACUACUUGCCGACAAUCUGGGCAAAUAGAUGAGGGAACACAUGAUGUUAUGAGCAACUUCAGUGCAUCUAUGUUUAUAUUGAAAUUUGAGGUGAAGACUGUUUAAGAGAAGUUGCAUGAAACAGUUGUGUAAGGGAAUAAUAGAAGCAUGAGAUAUCUCAAUCUUAUAGCAGAAAUUAUCUUCAGGUUAUUUUAUACUGACGGAGAUGAGCUUAAGAAAGAAAGGAUGAUCACCUGAAAUACAUGGAGUUAGCACACCGUCACCAAUAACCAUUGAUGUUGCUAGAAUUGUCACUAGGAAAAGUAUGACCUUAAAUUUCG